GACGAACGCUGGCGGCGUGCCUAACACAUGCAAGUCGAACGGAAAGGUCCUGCUUUUGUGGGGUGCUCGAGUGGCGAACGGGUGAGUAACACGUGAGUAACCUGCCCUUGACUUUGGGAUAACAUCAGGAAACAGGGGCUAAUACCGGAUAGGAGCUCUUGCUGCAUGGUGGGGAAUGGAAAGUUUCGGCGGUUGGGGAUAGACUCGCGGCUUAUCAGCUUGUUGGUGGGGUAGUGGCUUACCAAGGCUUUGACGGGUAGCCGGCAUGAGAGGGUGAACAGACACAAUGGGACUGAGAUACGCCGCAGACUCCUACGGGAGGCAGCAGUGGGAAAUAUUGCGCAAUGGGCGGAAGCAUGUUGCAGCAACGCCGCGUGCGAGAUGACGGCUUUCGGGUUGUAAACCGCUUUGGCCUGUGACGAAGCGUGAGUGACGGUAAUGAGUAAAGAAGCACCGGCUAACUACGUG
rnacentral:rRNA from 1 species